AAGAGCCGAAUCCAGAACAAAUUGUGUUGAAACCUGUUAGAAAACUUCCUAAAGAGGAAGAAACAAAAGAAGAAAUUACUUUGAAACCAGUGGAACAGAAAAAAGUUGAAGAAAACCCAGAGGAAAUCCAAUUCAAGCCAGUGAAGAAGAUAGAAAAACCCGAAGAGCCGAAUCCAGAACAAAUUGUGUUGAAACCUGUUAGAAAAGUUCCUAAAGAGGAA
rnacentral:lncRNA from 1 species